CCAACUCUUUAUGGCCUGCAAGUAAUAUGGAAAUUAACAGCACAAAUCAUCAUUCUCUGUUGUCUUCAACCUUUGAACCCUAUGCAGAAUCUUCAUCUUUGUUCCCUAAUAUUACACUAACAGAGGAGCUGAUCCUGAUAUUUUUGCCAGUACACGGUUCAAUUUGGGUUACUUUUGUGUUUAUAACUGCAGCUUUAUCAUUACUGGCGAUAGCACUCCUUGGUCAUUUGUUGGGAUUUCAUAUAUUUUUAAUGUGCCAAAACUUCUCUACUUAUGACUAUAUAGUUCAGAAGCGUGAUGCUCCUUCAAAUACAACAAAUAGGACUGAAAAGAAAAAGCCAACACCUAGCUUUGACUGUAGCUUUCUCUUUUUAAAACAAAUCAAAGCUAAAAAGGUUAAUCAAAUAUCCCCAAAAUCUCAAGAAAGUGAGGCAAAAGCUGAGGAAGUAGAGGAAUGGGAAAUGCAAGCUAAUGUUCAGCAUAAUAGACCCAAUGGAAACAAGCCGACAUUACCUGUAGUCACAGAAAAUAAAUGUGCAGCAGCUAAUGAAGAUGAGUGUCCUUUGGAAAGCUAUGUUGGAAAUGUAUAUAUAGGUAGUCCACACCGCAGACGACAUUAUUUAGAGCCUCUAAAUGUACGACAGAAGUUACCAAGUGCUAAAACAAAAGAAAAGAAAAAAGAGGAGAAUCCAAAGAAAGAAACUGUAUUUCAUCAAAAUGAAGAUAAAGAUAUCGAAAGCAUUAAUGAGGGUGAUGACCAGGAGUCAAAUUCAGUGACAUCCCAGAGUCAUUCAUAUAGCCAUGGCCUGGGAAGACGGCAUCACAGAAGUCCAUCACCUGCACCAUUGCUUUCACCAAUAUUUGAGUCUGAAAUCUCAUCUGGAUCUGCAAUAGUCAGUUGGAAACAUAGAUCUGUUUCUGAGCAGUCACUGCACACUUUAGAUGAAAGUGAAGAGGAUCAACCUGCAACAUCUACAACUUGCACAGUACAGAUAGAACCGAAUACUGGUAAUGGUCUGGGUAACCGUGAGGACAGUGGAAGUCUGAGUAAUUUAUUCUUGUCAAAAGAUCAGUCAGAAGAAGUUGAAGAGGAUAAUAAUAAUGUUAUAAUUGAUGAUGAUAAUAGGGUGCAUGAAGUCUGUAUAAUACCAAAUUCAUCUCCAGAUGGUUGUGAAAGUAAUUACAAUGCUUCAGACUCUCAAGAGAUUGAGAGUACUGAUCGAAGUGAUCCAUUAAUUAAUGGAGAACUGUGGGCAUAUGCCCCCCGAAAUGGUUGUCAGAUUAAAGAUGGUAUUGUCUCUUUUCGUAGAAGCUGCAGCAUGCAAGAUAAUGAAAAGAUCAAACACAUUUCUCAUGAUCCACUAACUCGGUGUUGCUCAGAAGAUGAGUUGAAGUCAAUGCAGAGGAUGACUAAACUUCAACGCAGGCUUUCUGAAGAUCAUGAUUUAUGGAUGCUUAAAGGUUGCAAUAAUGUUCCAAAGACCUGGAGAGAACACUCUCCAAAGGCUGGCGUGUCAGCCACAGCAGUAUUUUGUGUCGAAGAACCUGAAGAAUCUUUCAGAAUACCGGGUAUACCAUUUGGAUUAAAAAGAAAAUACAACCACUUCUCUGUACCAAACCAUAUUGUUCUACCCUGUUCCAAUUCCAUACAUCCGGAAAGUCGGAAGAGGACCAGACCAGUGGGUUCAAAGCCACCUAAAGCAUUCCAUGCCUAGUGCCCAUACCAUUAACACUAUAUAUAGUGUUCAGAACACUAUAUAUGGUAGCACAUUCUAGCAAUUUCUUAUGCAAGCUUUAAGCUUGCAUUUUCAAUGACUGAAUUCCUGUGUAUCUUUCAUUACAAAUGAUACAUGAGAAAAUCUGUAACAGAAAUGGCAUUAUUAUUUUAUCUCAUACUCAGUGUAUAUUUCUAUAUAACAUGGUAUCUAUAUAAUGUUCUCUUUUAGCUUAUUAAAGAAUUUAAAUGCAAUGGAACCUUAGAUCAUGAACAAUUCAGUUCACGAAUAAAUUAUUUGAACAAACAGACAUCAGAUGACAAAUGAUGUCUUGACAAACUCUCAAAUUGACAGCUUAAGAUUUUCAAAGAUAUUUUAAGGUAACCUGUGCUACAUAAUUAACACUGGAAAAAAAACAUUUUAAUAUUUUCUAUUUCGUAGUUCUCAUUAGCUAAGCCUGGCCAAUAAGUGACUUGGAUUGACUUUGGCCUGGAAGAAAUUAUAGCCAGAUUGAGCUGCAGACAAAAACUUUGAUGCUUAGGUUCCUCCCUCAAUUUUCUCCGCUUGUGUCUAGAACAAUAGAUUCGAAAAUCAACAAAAAAGAUGUGGAAAAGUUACUAAGGGCCAUAAAAAUUAGCUCAAUAAGGAAAAAUUACAAUAAUUUUGGAAGCAGCAACAAAGGCAAUUGUGAAAGUAAUGCCUUCAUUUUCAGAACAAGGGGAAGAAAGGAAAAUGCCCUUAAUUCUUUGAUCUGCAAAAUUUAUGCAUAAUAGGGUAAAAUGCAGUGUUUUCCGUAGUAAUAUCUCCUUAGUAAAGCAGUAGUAAGCUGCAACUUAACCAUUUUCAGUGGCAGUGCCAUGUUUCACUUUAGGAACACUUUAAAAUGUAGGAAAAAAAUUACAUUGGACAGAUCUUAAGUGAAACAGGCCCAGUGAAAUUCAAACAGCCGAGUAGUGCUUAGAUACAAAGGAAAGAUGAAAGGAAGUAACUCCUUAAGAGUUAUCUGACAUUUUUAUGGUAGAAAAUUUCACAUCAAAACAAUAUCAACAUCAUUUUCCACUUACCCAGUCUUCUUUGUAAAGUAAUUUUUUUUUUCUUUUUUUUAAUGAAAUACAUUCAAUGAUUUCUAUCCAUUUUGAGUUACGAACUUGCACAAAGUGCUGUUGUAAAAUUUAAAGGAACGGUUAUCUGUGAUCCAGGAACAAAUUAAUUCCUGUGGGGAGUAUUCUUUCACGUGACAAAAAGCCUUCAGGAACAAGUUUAGUUUAUAAACUGAGGUUUGAACAUACAUUACUUUCUUUUAUUUGAGUUAUAAAAAAACAAUGAAUAUAUAAUAAAAGAAUAUAAGGUUUCAAAAUGUAAGACUAAUACAUAAGUUAUUCUUUUAUUAUUUUAUUUGUAUAAGUAUUUUAAGUACAUAUAUAUGCAUGUAUUCAUAAUAUGGAUAUGUAUAUGACUAUAAUAAUUAUAACAGUAUAUCUGCUAUUUAUAACUAGGUUUGUAUUUAGAUAGUAACUACUUAAUAAGUGUAACUACACAAUAAAUCAUUAUGUAUCUUAUUUUUCUUGGUAAUAAUGUAAUGUGUAUGGUAUAUUUUUGUUGUAUAAUAUAUUUAUGCCUUUUAUUGUAUAGAAUUUGUUGUAUUUAACAUUUUCCAGUCUCACACAUUCACAUAACUGUCAGUUAUAGAAUAUUCAAUUGCUCAUGAUAUCAAAGAUAUCUUUGAGAACUGUAAUUUUUUUAUUAUCGUAUACAUUGAAAUAAUCUCUUUAAAUACAAUUACGCACAGAAAAAAUAAAUAUUUGUUUGCAUUGUAUGUAUUGAAAAAUAUAUGAAUUUUUAAAAUUCAUUUUAAUACCUUAAAUGAAGUUAAAUUUUUGUCUUGAGAUAUUAAUAUUUUUAGCAUAAGUUAUAUUUUAACUCUAGGAAUGGUAUUAAAUACUAAAAAGUAGGUACGGAUUUUUAAUAUGACUCUGAAAAGGAACUAAGUUUUUUCAUUAUUCUUUUGUAAUGGUCCAUAUCUCCACAAAAAUUUGGAAUUAACCUGAUACAUUUUAAUACCAUAUAAAAUGUUAAUUCAUCACACUACUUUAUUUCUCCCUUCAUUGAAAUCUUAAUGCUAACAUACUAUCCCCAUUCUGAACAUUUUAUUUCUCUGUCAAAUAAUCAGAAAUAUAUGAUCAAUUAUAUUUAUCUUAAAUUUCAGAAACUGUUGAUAUUUUUAUUUUUAGAAUCCUGAAUUUAUUUACAUUCAAAAAACCAUCUUUAACUAUUAUUUAUAGAUAUU